AUUGAACGCUGGCGGCAGGCCUAACACAUGCAAGUCGAGCGGAUGAAGGGAGCUUGCUCCUGGAUUCAGCGGCGGACGGGUGAGUAAUGCCUAGGAAUCUGCCUGGUAGUGGGGGAUAACGCCCGGAAACGGGCGCUAAUACCGCAUACGUCCUGAGGGAGAAAGUGGGGGAUCUUCGGACCUCACGCUAUCAGAUGAGCCUAGGUCGGAUUAGCUAGUUGGUGGGGUAAAGGCCUACCAAGGCGACGAUCCGUAACUGGUCUGAGAGGAUGAUCAGUCACACUGGAACUGAGACACGGUCCAGACUCCUACGGGAGGCAGCAGUGGGGAAUAUUGGACAAUGGGCGAAAGCCUGAUCCAGCCAUGCCGCGUGUGUGAAGAAGGUCUUCGGAUUGUAAAGCACUUUAAGUUGGGAGGAAGGGCAGUAAGUUAAUACCUUGCUGUUUUGACGUUACCAACAGAAUAAGCACCGGCUAACUUCGU
rnacentral:rRNA from 1 species